CCCAGGUGUUUCUUGUUCCCUGAUUACCCCCAGUGUAUUUAGUGUCACCUGUGUGUCUGUUCUUUGUCGGGUCCUCGUCUAAUGUGCGUUCGUGUUGUUCCGUUGUCCCUUCAUUUUUACGGUUGCUACCGGCGUCGAGCCCUGGUUUCCGCUCGGCCGUGCUGCCCGUUAUUUUGGACUGUGUUUUGCUGGACAUUCACCAUUAAAAUCAUUAAUUUAUCACAUCCUGGGUCUACAGCGUCUGCCUCACCACCUCAACACCCGCAAUUCAUGACAUAUUUACUGUGAAACAAAGCUUUU